GAAUAUUGGGCAAUGGAUGCAAGUCUGACCCAGCCAUGCCGCGUGCCGGAUGAAGGCCCUCAGGGUUGUAAACGGCUUUUAUUCGGGAAGAAGAGCAGGGAUGCGUCCUUGUGUGACGGUACCGAAUGAAUAAGCACCGGCUAACUCCGUGCCAGCAGCCGCGGUAAUACGGAGGGUGCGAGCGUUGUCCGGAUUUAUUGGGUUUAAAGGGUGCGUAGGUGGCUUUAUAAGUCAGUGGUGAAAUACGGUUGCUCAACAAUCGAGGUGCCAUUGAUACUGUAAAGCUUGAAAUAAUUGGAGGCUGCCGGAAUGGAUGGUGUAGCGGUGAAAUGCAUAGAUAUCAUCCAGAACACCGAUUGCGAAGGCAGGUGGCUACGAUUGGUUUGACACUGAGGCACGAAAGCAUGGGGAGCAAACAGG
rnacentral:rRNA from 1 species